rnacentral:rRNA from 1 species
CAAUAGCGUAUAUUAAAGUUGUUGUGGUUAAAAAAGCUCGUAGUUGGAUUUCUGUCUAGGGUGGCCGGUGCCCACUAUGUGAAGCAUCUGGUUCAGUCUGGGCAUCCUCUUGGGGAUCGUUUCCGUGCUUGAUUGCAUGGGGCGGAAUUCAAGACUUUUACUUUGAGGAAAAUUAGAGUGUUCACGGCAAGCUUUCGCUUUGAAUACAUUAGCAUGGAAUAAUAAUAUAGGGCGUAAGUUCUAUUUUGUUGGUUUCUAGAACAUACGCAAUGAUUAAUAGGGAUAAUUGGGGCGACUCGUAUUAACACGUCAGAGGUGGAAUUCUUAGAUUGUGUUACGACGAACUACUGCGAAAGCAUUUGCCAAGGAUGUUUUCAUUGAUCAAGAACGAAAGUAUGGGGAUCGAAGAUGAUUAGAU